AGAUUUGACUAUUAUUUCCGGUCAGUCAGCUUGCCGAAGCAGUCAGAUUUCCGUCAUACUACUCUGAAUAAAAAUGGCAUCAGGAGAUGAGCUUCCAUCACAUCUCGCUGUCGAUACCUCCAACGUUCAAAUUCUUAACUCUGAGACCUCAAAAAGACUCGUCGAAAAUUUUGUAAUCGCUCUCAUGAACAAGGAGCGUUUCUACAUCCGCAUUUCUUUUCGACAUACAAACCAUAUGCCACUGCUGAAAGUGUGUUGUACAUCCUCCUGGACAAAUAUGGAAGCUUUGACACCUCAGAGGCAGAAGAGAUUCCAGUAAUCGAUUCAGUGAGCACAAAGUAAGCUUUAGUCGAAUGUGUGACUUAAUUAAGUUUCAGCCAAAAUACAACAAUGUUAAAAAACCUGCUGGCACUUCCUGUAAGAUCUGUGGAGGGCCUUCCUCCCACAGCAAUGCAGCAAACACUGGACAGCAGCAGUCAUACUAAUGAAGUUGCUUGAUUGUAUCAAAAAUCUACACAGAUUUUGUUAGUUUGAAAAGAAAAGUUGUAUCAACAGAAAAGAUCCAAAAGUGUUGAGUGAAAAAUUGCUCAUCCAUUCACUAUUCAGACCUCCAUUGGUCGCCAAACAUUUAGAUAGCUGAGCUCUGAAUUAAGUAUACAACAUGUCGAAGAAUUGAUUUUCCUACCUCCUCCCCUCCCCUCAGUCUGCCUGUGGUGUCUUUCAAAUCUCCUGUGAAGGUUUUGAAGAAAAACCUACUCCCAGUACAUCUGGAGGGUGAUCUAUUUUAUAAAAACAGUUGACCAAAGAAUGAAAUAGAGGCAGAGCUGCAAUCUUUUCUUUGCUGUCAUUACGGUUGGUAUUGCUGAGCUUAUACAAAAGAGAUUUGCAGGCCAAUGUCCACUGUAGGAGUUGGGAAGCUCCAAUAUUUGCCAGAGAGACAGACAUGUGCAGCUCUCAGCUGGUGACUUAAUUCAUGCCCAGUGAGUCAUUAAACCUGCUACUUUGCCCAAUGCUGACAACACAGUAUAAUGGUGCAGAAGAGAGUUCAGCUCUCCUCAUGAACUCCCCUCCACUUUGCCAAGAAUGUCAUGUCUCAGGCCAAGGCCAGUUGACUUGGGACAUUCAGCCCUGUAUGUAGAGACAGUAUCUGAAGUUCUUCACUGGAAAGUUGGUUGCCCUUCUAUAUUUGGGCCUGGAGCUCAUUGUUUGAGAUAUUUUUAGACUUUGCAACAAAUAUAAAAUGUUGAAGAAAUGGAUUUGUUACAUCCUUCUGUCUCUCUCUCUCUCCGUCUCUCUUUACUUCCACUCUCCAGUUUCAUGGUCUUAUCCUGUAAACUAUCGUUCAGGGUUUGGGGGAGACCAAUCAUCAUAUUCUGUAGUUGCGUCUUGACCCGUUGUUACAAAAUUAGCUGUCAAUGGCACGAAAUGCCGACUCAAUAUCUUUCAGGUGUGUGGAGAUAAUUUUCUUGUGGAUGUGGAUGUUUGCUCAAAUUUACUUGAUAACACUUUGAGGACCAUUUGCAGAUCACCUGAAAGUGCAAACUACAAGGUAGGUGGGAAACCAUGCACUCUAAAAUCUAUCAUGAAAGAGUAAAUUUGAAUACAAUAAGUGGUUAAGGUUUUGCUUUAUUCAGAGUACAAGGAAUACAAAGGAAACUGCCGAUGAGCUAAGAAUUACUGGGUACAAGUAUUUGUUUAAAAUGACAUUCUUCACAACUAAUUUCAGCAGCAGGAACAAUGCUAACAUUCCGAGCUGUGAGGAGCUUGAAAAUCCAAUUCCUCCAGAGACAGUUGCUGAGAUCAGAAAAUAAGUAUUGAUCCAAUGUGUGAGGAAAUGAUGCUUUAAUCAGAAUACAACUAUGUGAAGGGCAACCGCUGGAGGCCGCCAUUUUCAGGAACAUUAUUGAGAGACUUUCUCCUGAAACUUAGCAGCAUCUGUGGAGAGAAAGCAGA